UGUUUGUGAUCUUGCAGUUGUAGGAGCAGAUGCCUCUGGCUUGCUUUGCUCACCUUCACAGGUCAGAUAAUUUCAGUUUUUAAAAUCAGCUCUUUUGGCCAUUUCAGAAGCUUCCGGUUCAACAUUAGAAGUUAGGGAUGAGUAUUAUUGACAGGCCUGCUUUUGAUUGGAUUGUACCUGUGGUUUAUAUUUGUUUUGAUUUUUGCAAUAGUUUUAUGAACCUAAUUGUCCUUCUUUAUAAGUUCUAUGAUUACAAUUUUGAUUGUAAUAAAGUUUCAUGUAAGAUUUUG
rnacentral:misc_RNA from 1 species